UACAGAGGGGGCAAGCGUUGUUCGGAAUUACUGGGCGUAAAGGGCGCGUAGGCGGCCGCCUAAGUCAGACGUGAAAUCCCUCGGCUCAACCGGGGAACUGCGUCUGGUACUGGGUGGCUUGAAUCCGGGAGAGGGAUGCGGAAUUCCAGGUGUAGCGGUGAAAUGCGUAGAUAUCUGGAGGAACACCGGUGGCGAAGGCGGCAUCCUGGACCGGCAUUGACGCUGAGGCGCGAAAGCCAGGGGAGCAAACGGG
rnacentral:rRNA from 1 species